GAGUUAUGGCUCAGGAUGAACGCUGGCGGCGUGCCUAACACAUGCAAGUCGAGCGAUUCACUUCGGUGAAGAGCGGCGGACGGGUGAGUAACGCGUGGGUAACCUGCCUCAUACACAUGGAUAACAUACCGAAAGGUAUGCUAAUACAGGAUGAUAUAGGGGAUUCGCAUGGAUUUCUUAUCAAAGCUCCGGCGGUAUGAGAUGGACCCGCGUCUGAUUAGCUAGUUGGUAAGGUAAUGGCUUACCAAGGCGACGAUCAGUAGCCGACCUGAGAGGGUGAUCGGCCACAUUGGAACUGAGACACGGUCCAAACUCCUACGGGAGGCAGCAGUGGGGAAUAUUGCACAAUGGGCGAAAGCCUGAUUGCAGCAACGCCGCGUGAGUGAUGAAGGCCUUCGGGUCGUAAAACUCUGUCCUCAAGGAAGAUAAUGACGGUACUUGAGGAGGAAGCCCCGGCUAACUACGUGCCAGCCGCGGC
rnacentral:rRNA from 1 species